rnacentral:lncRNA from 1 species
UGGGAAAACAGAGCAUGUUUUGUUGAUGUUUGCUUGUAUUUUCUUAUGUGCCUUAUGUGUUUAUGUUGCCUAAGUGUUUGAAUGAGAUUAGACGAGUCUUAUAUGAGAGAUGAAUCGAGACCUAGAACCAUGAUUUUCUUGAACCCUAUCCUUGGACUCAAGGAUUUGAAAUGAGUAAAGAGUUUAUGUAGAGUUGAUUAAGAGAUAGAAUAUAAUAUAGAGCAUGAGUUGAGGCAUGAGUUUUCGUCGUUAAGUUCUAAUCGAGAUUCAUUUUCUGACAUGAACCUUCGAUGAUGACGAUGAUCCCUGAAGACACAAGCAGAGCAAGGAAGUAAGUAACUCCGCUUUGACGGGAGUUUUUGAGUAAGGUCUUCAGGUGGGCAAUAUUUUGAGUAUAUGUUUAUCAUAUGAGCCUUCUAAAAUGAUUUAAUGAUAUAAUGAUGUUAUGAGAUUAACAAAUGUUUUGAGAUAAAUGAUAUUUGAGAACUGUUUGACUUGCCAAUUUUUGAUGUUGAGCUUGUGUGUUACCCUCUACUGAUGAGACGAAUUCGGUCCUGCCACAAGCGGGAUUUUGUGCACAGAGGUGACUGUGAGCCGUCUUCGGGUCGGCCGGUCACGGUACUUGAGAGGGAGGCCUACUUCUCAGUACCUUUGAUGAUGAGUAGUGGAUGUGGUACAUACAUGAUGAAUGUUUAAACUGCGCAGUUACUUAUUUAUGAUGUUGAUUAUGAAAACUGCAUGCACAGAUUCAUUUAUACUAACUUAUUUCUGUGUAUUGCUGAGAUGUGGCAAGCUUCAAACUUAUAGCUCUAAGAGCACCUUUCUUGUUUUUCGGCGUUUGCCCACUGAGUAUUAUAUACUCACGCCCUGCAUGUAUUUCUAAAUGUGCAGGCUAAGCAAGGAGUGAGAUUGGUCUGGUGCUGGUGGGGGAUCGUUAGAUGACGUAUUUACUUUAUCGUAUUUCAUUUUUAUCGAUAAAGUCUUGAUGUGAAGUUACUUUGAAUAUGAAUCAAGUAAUAUACUCACGGUUAUGUGUCUUCAUACAUAUAAUCGGUUCGCCUUUUGCUGCGAUACUCUGCAUAUUAUGUUUCCUUAUGAAAAAUAAGCUAUACCUGUUUUGUUUUUGAUCAUGAAAUUCCUGAUAAUUAAAAAGUUAUAACGACGUUGACGAUUUUACCCUUGGGUUCAUUAAUGAUGAUUUUCCUUAGCAUGCUUUGAUGCGAGCUUCCGCUUGAUGUUCGACCUAUUCUUCUUAUCUUUUAUUCUUUUAAAAAUAGUCGUAUCGAUACUCGUACCCCACUAUCACUAGUGUCGGGAAUCGGGCUGCGACAUUGUUGUACGUAGAGUUCAUCUGCUCUGAGUCUAUUGNUUUGUUGAGAAUUCUACGCUCAUAUAUGAGUUUCUCACUAGAGUUAGUUUACAUGAUAAAAAGGGAAAUAUAUGUGAAAAAUGAGAUAUAUGAAGUAUGAGGUCAUUUUGAAUGAUUGAGUGUUUUAAGCAUGAAAUUGAGAAGAGGAUUUACUUAAUACGUUGUAGAAACGUUUUCCUUGAGAUUUGAGUUAAGAUGUAAAAGAGGAGAGUUAAUUUGAGUAUGAUGAGUAUUUUAAUGUUUUUGAAUGUUUUUGAGUGUUAUAUGUGUUUAAAAUGAGCUUUGAUUGGUUUCCUUUGAAGGAAUGUUAAUUUGAGCAUUUAAGAGUUGGGAAUGAAUUUUUGGUGAUUUUUCGUAGGCUACUGACCUACUGUGAUCGACGGUUUGUCGAUAUCAAAAAGCUUUGAAAAUUUUAGAGAAUGUCCCUACAUGAGUCUUGAGCACCUCUGUAAAAUUUCAAGUCAUUUGGACUUGAUUUACUAUUUUUAUAAAAUGCAAAACCAAAUCUGCACAUUUCUGCCGGGAAUUUCAGAGAACAGGGGACAAAGUCAUUCAUUUCAGUGACUUCCUGUGUGAAUUAGAUUUCCAAAUUUUUAUGGUAUCAACCUUACUGUAUGGGCUAGAUAUCCACCAAAUUUGAGCGCAGUUUGACAUCGUUUACUAUUUUUGAAAAAUCAAACUUGUCGAUUGCUCAAAACUGCCGAAUAUGGUAGACUGUAGUAAAACAGUCAUAUCUCCCAAACCACUUGGAGUUUCUGACUCUACUUUUUUUUAAAUGAAACUAGACUCAAAUACCUUUCUUUUGGUAUGAGUCUGGAAUCUAGGGGAUGUCGGAGUCAGAACGUGUUAAAGUUUGAAGUCGAGUCUGUGUAAAAACAGAACAUGUUUUGUUGAUGUUUGAUUGUAUUCUCUUAUGUGCCUUAUGUGAUGGUGUUGCCUAAGUGUUUGAAUGAGAUUAGACAAGUCUUAUAUGAGAGAUGAAUCGAGACUUAGAACCAUGAUUUUCUUGAAACCUAUCCUUGGACUUAAGGAUUUGAAAUGAGUGAAGAGUUUAUGUAGAGUUGAUUAAGGAGAUAGAAUAUAAUAUAGA